ACUCAAAGGAAUAGACGGGGACCCGCACAAGCGGUGGAGCAUGUGGUUUAAUUCGACGCAACGCGAAGAACCUUACCUGGGCUAGAAUGCCUCCGACAACCCUAGAGAUAGGGCCUUCCAUGGAAACAUGGACGGAGUGCAAGGUGCUGCAUGGCUGUCGUCAGCUCGUGUCGUGAGAUGUUGGGUUAAGUCCCGCAACGAGCGCAACCCUUGUCGGUAGUUACUAACGGGUCAAGCCGAGGACUCUACCGAGACUGCCGUUGAUAAAACGGAGGAAGGUGGGGAUGACGUCAAGUCCUCAUGGCCUUCAUGCCCAGGGCUACACACGUGCUACAAUGGCGGGCACAGAACGCCGCGAACCCGCGAGGGGGAGCCAAUCGUCGAAAGCCCGUCUCAGUUCGGAUCGCAGUCUGCAACUCGACUGCGUGAAGCUGGAAUCGCUAGUAAUCGCGGAUCAGCACGCCGCGGUGAAUACGUUCCCGGGUCUUGCACACACCGCCCGU
rnacentral:rRNA from 1 species